rnacentral:rRNA from 1 species
GAUGAACGCUGGCGGCGUGCCUAAUACAUGCAAGUCGAGCGAACAGACGAGGAGCUUGCUCCUCUGACGUUAGCGGCGGACGGGUGAGUAACACGUGGAUAACCUACCUAUAAGACUGGGAUAACUUCGGGAAACCGGAGCUAAUACCGGAUAAUAUAUUGAACCGCAUGGUUCAAUAGUGAAAGACGGUUUUGCUGUCACUUAUAGAUGGAUCCGCGCCGCAUUAGCUAGUUGGUAAGGUAACGGCUUACCAAGGCGACGAUGCGUAGCCGACCUGAGAGGGGGGAUCGGCCACCCGGAAACGGAGCACGGGCCAGAACCCCCCGGGGGGGAGGAGGGGGGAAUUUUUCCGAAAGGGGGAAAGGCCUACCGGGCCACCGCCGGGGGGGUGAGAAAGGUUUUGGGUUGGAAAAACCUUUUUUUUGGGAAAAAAAAAAGGUGGAAAAAACUAUGCAGGUUUGGAGGGUACCAAAUAAAAAAGCCAGGCCAAACUACGG